GCGCCCGUAGCUCAGCUGGAUAGAGCGCUGCCCUCCGAAGGCAGAGGUCACACGUUCGAAUCGUGUCGGGCGCG
rfam:Bosea vaviloviae strain SD260 contig_1, whole genome shotgun sequence.